rnacentral:rRNA from 1 species
AGGUAAGCUACUAAGAGCGAAUGGUGGAUGCCUUGACUGGUAAAGGCGAUGAAGGACGUACCAGACUGCGAUAAGCUACGGGGAGCUGUCAAGAAGCUUUGAUCCGUAGAUUUCCGAAUGGGGCAACCCAAUGUAUAGAGAUAUACAUUACCUAUAUAGGAGCGAACGAGGGGAAUUGAAACAUCUUAGUACCCUCAGGAAAAGAAAUCAAUAGAGAUUGCGUCAGUAGCGGCGAGCGAAAGCGCAAGAGGGCAAACCCAGUGCUUGCACUGGGGGUUGUAGGACUGCAAUGUGCAAGAGCUGAGUUUAGCAGAACAUUCUGGAAAGUAUAGCCAUAGAGGGUGAUAGUCCCGUAUGCGAAAAACAAAGCUUAGCUAGCAGUAUCCUGAGUAGGGCGGGACACGAGGAAUCCUGUCUGAAUCCGGGUCGACCACGAUCCAACCCUAAAUACUAAUACCAGAUCGAUAGUGCACAAGUACCGUGAGGGAAAGGUGAAAAGAACUGAGGUGAUCAGAGUGAAAUAGAACCUGAAACCAUUUGCUUACAAUCAUUCAGAGCCCUAUGUAGCAAUACAGGGUGAUGGACUGCCUUUUGCAUAAUGAGCCUGCGAGUUGUGGUGUCUGGCAAGGUUAAGCAAACGCGAAGCCGUAGCGAAAGCGAGUCUGAAUAGGGCGCUUAGUCAGAUGCUGCAGACCCGAAACGAAGUGAUCUAUCCAUGAGCAAGUUGAAGCUAGUGUAAGAACUAGUGGAGGACUGAACCCAUAGGCGUUGAAAAGCCCCGGGAUGACUUGUGGAUAGGGGUGAAAGGCCAAUCAAACUUCGUGAUAGCUGGUUCUCUCCGAAAUAUAUUUAGGUAUAGCGUUGUGUCGUAAUAUAAGGGGGUAGAGCACUGAAUGGGCUAGGGCAUACACCAAUGUACCAAACCCUAUCAAACUCCGAAUACCUUAUAUGUAAUCACAGCAGUCAGGCGGCGAGUGAUAAAAUCCGUCGUCAAGAGGGAAACAACCCAGACUACCAGCUAAGGUCCCUAAAUCUUACUUAAGUGGAAAACGAUGUGAAGUUACUUAAACAACCAGGAGGUUGGCUUAGAAGCAGCCAUCCUUUAAAGAAAGCGUAAUAGCUCACUGGUCUAGUGAUUUUGCGCGGAAAAUAUAACGGGGCUAAAGUAAGUACCGAAGCUGUAGACUUGCACACAACUUAGAUUAUUUAAGUUUAGAAUAUGAGAAACUAAGUUAUAUGUUUAGUUAUAUUUUUACUGAUUUUUAUAGAGUAAAGAUAGAAAUAAAACUUAGUAAAAUCAGUAAAAAUAUUCUUAGACUAAAGUUAAGUAGUUUAAGUUGUGUGCAAGUGGUAGGAGAGCGUUCUAUUUGCGUCGAAGGUAUACCGGUAAGGAGUGCUGGAGCGAAUAGAAGUGAGCAUGCAGGCAUGAGUAGCGAUAAUUAAUGUGAGAAUCAUUAACGCCGUAAACCCAAGGUUUCCUACGCGAUGCUCGUCAUCGUAGGGUUAGUCGGGUCCUAAGUCGAGUCCGAAAGGGGUAGACGAUGGCAAAUUGGUUAAUAUUCCAAUACCAACAUUAGUGUGCGAUGGAAGGACGCUUAGGGCUAAGGGGGCUAGCGGAUGGAAGUGCUAGUCUAAGGUCGUAGGAGGUUAUACAGGCAAAUCCGUAUAACAAUACUCCGAGAACUGAAAGGCUUUUUGAAGUCUUCGGAUGGAUAGAAGAACCCCUGAUGCCGUCGAGCCAAGAAAAGUUUCUAAGUUUAGCUAAUGUUGCCCGUACCGUAAACCGACACAGGUGGGUGGGAUGAGUAUUCUAAGGCGCGUGGAAGAACUCUCUUUAAGGAACUCUGCAAAAUAGCACCGUAUCUUCGGUAUAAGGUGUGGUUAGCUUUGUAUUAGGAUUUACUCCGAAAGCAAGGAAACUUACAACAAAGAGUCCCUCCCGACUGUUUACCAAAAACACAGCACUCUGCUAACUCGUAAGAGGAUGUAUAGGGUGUGACGCCUGCCCGGUGCUCGAAGGUUAAUUGAUGGGGUUAGCAUUAGCGAAGCUCUUGAUCGAAGCCCGAGUAAACGGCGGCCGUAACUAUAACGGUCCUAAGGUAGCGAAAUUCCUUGUCGGUUAAAUACCGACCUGCAUGAAUGGCGUAACGAGAUGGGAGCUGUCUCAAAGAGGGAUCCAGUGAAAUUGUAGUGGAGGUGAAAAUUCCUCCUACCCGCGGCAAGACGGAAAGACCCCGUGGACCUUUACUACAGCUUGACACUGCUACUUGGAUAAGAAUGUGCAGGAUAGGUGGGAGGCUUUGAGUAUAUGACGCCAGUUGUAUAUGAGCCAUUGUUGAGAUACCACUCUUUCUUAUUUGGGUAGCUAACCAGCUUGAGUUAUCCUCAAGUGGGACAAUGUCUGGUGGGUAGUUUGACUGGGGCGGUCGCCUCCCAAAUAAUAACGGAGGCUUACAAAGGUUGGCUCAGAACGGUUGGAAAUCGUUCGUAGAGUAUAAAGGUAUAAGCCAGCUUAACUGCAAGACAUACAAGUCAAGCAGAGACGAAAGUCGGUCUUAGUGAUCCGGUGGUUCUGUGUGGAAGGGCCAUCGCUCAAAGGAUAAAAGGUACCCCGGGGAUAACAGGCUGAUCUCCCCCAAGAGCUCACAUCGACGGGGAGGUUUGGCACCUCGAUGUCGGCUCAUCGCAUCCUGGGGCUGGAGCAGGUCCCAAGGGUAUGGCUGUUCGCCAUUUAAAGCGGUACGCGAGCUGGGUUCAGAACGUCGUGAGACAGUUCGGUCCCUAUCUGCCGUGGGCGUAAGAAGAUUGAAGAGAUUUGACCCUAGUACGAGAGGACCGGGUUGAACAAACCACUGGUGUAGCUGUUGUUCUGCCAAGAGCAUCGCAGCGUAGCUAAGUUUGGAAAGGAUAAACGCUGAAAGCAUCUAAGCGUGAAGCCAACUCUAAGAUGAAUCUUCUCUAAGCUCUCUAGAAGACUACUAGUUUGAUAGGCUGGGUGUGUAAUGGAUGAAAGUCCUUUAGCUGACCAGUACUAAUAGAGCGUUUGGCUUAUCUUU